ACUUGGAUAUGGAAUUUCACGGUAACGUAACUGAAUGUGGAGACGUCGGCAUGGGCCCUGGGAGGAGUUAUCUNUUCUUCUUAACAGCUUAUCACCCUGGAAUUGGUUUAUCCGGAGAUAGGGUNUUAUGGCUGGAAGAGCGCAAUAUCUUGUUGCGUCCGGNGCGCCUAUGNCGAUCCUUGAAAAUCCACAGGAAGGAUNNNUUUUCAUGCCAAGUNGUNCU
rnacentral:rRNA from 1 species